CCUUCUGAAAGGGAGAUUAAUACAAGAUGUUAUCAUGAGUAAGCAUUUUCGCAUGAUUAAAGGUUUACCGGUGUAAGAUGGGGAUGCGUUCCAUUAGAUAGUAGGCGGGGUAACGGCCCACCUAGCUCUUCGAUGGAUAGGGGUUCUGAGAGGAAGGUCCCCCGCAUUGGAACUGAGACACGGUCCAAACUCCUACGGGAGGCAGCAGUGAGGAAUAUUGGUCAAUGGACGCGAGUCUGAACCAGCCAAGUAGCGUGAAGGAUGACUGCCCUAUGGGUUGUAAACUUCUUUUAUAUGGGAAUAAAGUGGUCCACGUGUGGAUUUUUGUAUGUACCAUAUGAAUAAGGAUCGGCUAACUCCGUGCCAGCAGCCGCGGUAAUACGGAGGAUCCGAGCGUUAUCCGGAUUUAUUGGGUUUAAAGGGAGCGUAGGCGGAUUGUUAAGUCAGUUGUGAAAGUUUGCGGCUCAACCGUAAAAUUGCAGUUGAUACUGGCAGUCUUGAGUGCAGUAGAGGUGGGCGGAAUUCGUGGUGU
rnacentral:rRNA from 1 species